GACGAGGGGGGCUAGUGUUAUUCUGCAUGAUUGGGCGUAAAGGGCAUGUAGGCUGCAAUUUAAGUUUAAAGUCAAAACCCAACGUCUAACGUUGGUUAAUGGCUUUAAAUACUGAAUCUGCUUUGAGUUAUAUUAAGGAUUGUAGAAUUUCUGGAGGAGUAUGGAAGUAUCAAUCUCAGAAGGAAUACCAAGGGCGAAGGCAAUAAUCUAGAUAUAAACUGACGUUGAGAAUGCGAAGGUAUGGGGAGCAAACAGG
rnacentral:rRNA from 1 species